rnacentral:rRNA from 1 species
GAUGAACGCUGGCGGCGUGCCUAAUACAUGCAAGUCGAGCGAACAGACGAGGAGCUUGCUCCUCUGACGUUAGCGGCGGACGGGUGAGUAACACGUGGAUAACCUACCUAUAAGACUGGGAUAACUUCGGGAAACCGGAGCUAAUACCGGAUAAUAUAUUGAACCGCAUGGUUCAAUAGUGAAAGACGGUUUUGCUGUCACUUAUAGAUGGAUCCGCGCCGCAUUAGCUAGUUGGUAAGGUAACGGCUUACCAAGGCAACGAUGCGUAGCCGACCUGAGAGGGGGAUCGGCCACACUGGAACUGAGACACGGUCCAGACUCCGACGGGAGGCAGCAGUAGGGAAUCUUCCGCAAUGGGCGAAAGCCUGACGGAGCAACGCCGCGUGAGUGAUGAAGGUCUUCGGAUCGUAAAACUCUGUUAUUAGGGAAGAACAAAUGUGUAAGUAACUAUGCACGUCUUGACGGUACCUAAUCAGAAAGCCACGGCGAACUACGU